rnacentral:rRNA from 1 species
CAGAGGGGGCAAGCGUUGUUCGGAAUUACUGGGCGUAAAGGGCGCGUAGGCGGCCUUCUAAGUCGAACGUGAAAUCCCCGGGCUCAACCCGGGAACUGCGUCCGAUACUGGGAGGCUUGAAUCCGGGAGAGGGAUGUGGAAUUCCAGGUGUAGCGGUGAAAUGCGUAGAUAUCUGGAGGAACACCGGUGGCGAAGGCGGCAUCCUGGACCGGUAUUGACGCUGAGGCGCGAAAGCCAGGGGAGCAAACGGGAUUAGAUACCCCGGUAGUCCUGGCCCUAAACGAUGAAUGCUUGGUGUGGCGGGUAUCGAUCCCUGCCGUGCCGAAGCUAACGCAUUAAGCAUUCCGCCUGGGGAGUACGGUCGCAAGGCUG